rnacentral:rRNA from 1 species
CAACUUUCAGCAGUGGAUGUCUAGGCUCGCACAUCGAUGAAGAACGCUGCGAACUGCGAUACGUAAUGCGAAUUGCAGGAUUCAGUGAGUCAUCGAAAUUUUGAACGCAUAUUGCACUUUCGGGUUCUGCCUGGAAGUAUGUCUGUAUCAGUGUCCGUACACUAAAGUUGCCUUUCUUGCGUCGUGUAGUCGUCGCUUGGAACGAGCAGAUGUGAGGUGUCUUGCGUGGUGGUGUUUGUGCUGGUGGUGUUUGUGCUGCUGGCGUAAAGUAGUCGUGCAAGUCCCUUUAAAGUCGGACGUGUUUUCUCUGUAGUGUGCUGUGGCAGCUUUGGUGGCAUGCGGGACGUAGUCUGUUGACGAGUCUGGCGACCUUUGGCGCUUGCAUUGUGGGGAUUCCUCGAUUGGCGGUAUGUUAGGCCUCGGCUUUGAC